GUCCUUGAUGAGUCCUACUGCUUUAAAGACCAGGCACCAUGGUUUCCAUCAAUAAUAAGGAGAGAGAUCAUCACUUGGCUUCAUUGCUGUCUCUAAAACUCAAAUGAAUACACCUGGGAAGAUUCGAGAAGUCGCUGAUUGGAUAGUUACACCAAAAUCAAAGAUCCAAGUCUAUAUGUGCUACAGAGCCAUCCCUCGCCCUAGUCACAGCCAUCUGGUUUCCUUCUACAUCUUGCUAUCUCAGUAAAGCUAAAGGAACAAGCUGAUCUGCUGGGAGCAAAUCAAUUUCUCAUUAUCCUUAAUGUGUGAAGAUGAGACUACUGACAGUGAUCACAGUCUUUGUCUACGGAUAGGGUUGAAAACUUGUGUUUACAUAACAGAAAAUGUUUUCAUAUAGAAGAGCCGGAAUAGGCAUACAUGGCUGUGGGAUGCUGUGUCUUAACGUGGAAGCUAAUUCCUCUCAACAAAUAAACUUAGCAUUUCUCAACGU